rnacentral:rRNA from 1 species
AAGGAAUAUUGGACAAUGGCGGCAACACUGAUCCAGCCAUGCCGCGUGCAGGAUGACGGCCCUAUGGGUUGUAAACUGCUUUUAUUCGGGAAUAAACCUCUGUACGUGUACGGAGCUGAAGGUACCGAAUGAAUAAGCAUCGGCUAACUUCGUGCCAGCAGCCGCGGUAAUACGAAGGAUGCAAGCGUUAUCCGGAUUUAUUGGGUUUAAAGGGUGCGUAGGCGGGUUUGUAAGUCAGAGGUGAAAGCCCAUCGCUCAACGAUGGAACUGCCUUUGAUACUAUAGAUCUUGAGUAUGGUUGACGUUGGCGGAAUGUGCAGUGUAGCGGUGAAAUGCUUAGAUAUUGCACAGAACACCGAUUGCGAAGGCAGCUAACGAAGUCAUUACUGACGCUGAUGCACGAAAGCGUGGGGAGCAAAC